UCCAGAGGUCUCAAGCGUUGUUCGGAUUCAUUGGGCGUAAAGGGUGCGUAGGCGGCGCGGUAAGUCGGGUGUGAAAUCUUGGAGCUUAACUCCGAAACUGCAUUCGAUACUGCCGUGCUUGAGGACUGGAGAGGAGACUGGAAUUUACGGUGUAGCGGUGAAAUGCGUAGAUAUCGUAAGGAAGACCAGUGGCGAAGGCGGGUCUCUGGACAGUUCCUGACGCUGAGGCACGAAGGCCAGGGGAGCAAACGGG
rnacentral:rRNA from 1 species